AGAGUUUGAUCCUGGCUCAGGACGAACGCUGGCGGCGUGCUUAACACAUGCAAGUCGAGCGGAAAGGCCCUUCGGGGUACUCGAGCGGCGAACGGGUGAGUAACACGUGAGCAAUCUGCCCUUAGCUUCGGAGUAGCUCCGGGAAACCGGAAUUAAUACCGAAUAUGAUCACGGCCGACAUCAGCUGUGGUGGAAAGAUU
rnacentral:rRNA from 1 species